rnacentral:rRNA from 1 species
UAGGGAAUCUUCGGCAAUGGACGAAAGUCUGACCGAGCAACGCCGCGUGAGUGAAGAAGGCUUUCGGAUCGUAAAACUCUGUUGUUAGAGAAGAACAAGGACGAUAGUAACUGAACGUCCCCUGACGGUAUCUAACCAGAAAGCCACGGCUAACUACGUGCCAGCAGCCGCGGUAAUACGUAGGUGGCAAGCGUUGUCCGGAUUUAUUGGGCGUAAAGCGAGCGCAGGCGGUUUCUUAAGUCUGAUGUGAAAGCCCCCGGCUCAACCGGCGAGGGUCAUUGGAAACUGAGGGACUUGAGUGCAGAAGAGGAGAGUGGAAUUCCAGGUGUAGCGUUGAAAUGCGUAGAUAUAUAGAGGAACAACAGUGGCGAAGGCGGCUCGAUAGUCUGUAACUGAAGCUGAGGCUCGAAAGCGUGGGGAGCAAACAGG